CAAAGAAAAAGUAUAAUUUAAAGAUGGCUGUUUAAGGAUCAAAUUGCAGCAAUUGGUAAAAGUAGAUAUUAGUCAUAUUUAUGAAGUGACACACAGUGAUACUGAAGGCACUUAUUUCUCAAGAAACAUCAUUUUUUCCCAACAAGAACAUACUACAUCCUAGACAUGAGAUGAAAAUAAGCUUUAAUUUUCACCACAGCAGGGCGACAAUCAGAGAACUGAGGUGGUACAGAUCCAUUAGAGGACCAUAUCCAUGAGUCUAUCAGUCUCUACUGUAGGACAGAGCAAGAAUUUUUAAAGAAUCUCGGUGAAGGCUCCUUUUCAAAAAAAUAUAAAGAUUAAAGCCUUUGAAACGUAAAUUAUUUUUUCCAGUUAUUACAUUGAGGACAAAGUUAUAGUUGCAAAGUUAAGAUUUUUAUAACUAUCUCUAAAAUUGAUUCUCAGUGACUCCCUUGAUCUACAUAUGUUAAGGAAAGAGGCAAGAUGAAGAUGUGUUAAAUAUUUUCCAGUUUUUAAUAAUCACUUUAAUAUAAGGUAUACCCAAAUAAUGGUGAAUUAAAUGACAAAGAUGUUAUAGCAGAUGCUCACUCAUCAACCUGCCUUGAAAUUAAAGGUUUAUAAGGUGCAUAAGGGCAAAGCCUUUGAUGUUGUCAUUACAUUCACAAAGGUAUCUGAGGCACGUACAGCAUGAAGUUCCCUAAGUGCUUGCAACAUAAGCAGCACUAAAUUUUGUUGAAUAAAUAAAUGAAUACUUUUGUAUAGCAUCUGCUCAAAAUCUCUGAUGUAAAAAUGAAAAUAAUCUGAAAAUAUGCAAAACUGAAUUUUCCCACAUACGGUUGCCAAUUCAUACAAUAAGAUAAAUUUCAAAAUGAGAACAUGACAAUAAAAUCAAGUUUCAAAAUGGCUGGCCUUUUAUAGCAAAACCCAUGUUCAAAAAAAG
rnacentral:lncRNA from 1 species